rnacentral:lncRNA from 1 species
GGAUCUUUACAGCUUCAUCUGGACCGCUAGCAGGUGUAAUACAAUCAUCAAUAUAUCGAUAAUACAAGGGAAGGGAAAGAGCCUGGUCGGAAUAGAUUGCUUGGUUUUCUAUUCUGUCCAUGAAGAGUAUAGCGAGUAUUGGGGCUAACCGGUUUCCCAUAGCCAGACCUCGACGCUGUUGAUAAUAAGAUCGUUUCCAAGAGAGACAGUUCUUUUCGAAGAUAGCUUUGGUGAGUAGAAUGAUGUCAGAUACCGAAAAUUGAUAAAGUUGGAUAUUGUUCUUUUCUUUCUCUAGAUAUAAACGUAAGGUAUCAAUUGCUGCGUCGUUAUCUACGCUUGAUACCGAAAAUUGAUAAAGUUGGAUAUUGUUCUUUUCUUUCUCUAGAUAUAAACGUAAGGUAUCAAUUGCUGCGUCGUUAUCUACGCUUGAUACCGAAAAUUGAUAAAGUUGGAUAUUGUUCUUUUCUUUCUCUAGAUAUAAACGUAAGGUAUCAAUUGCUGCGUCGUUAUCUACGCUUGAUACCGAAAAUUGAUAAAGUUGGAUAUUGUUCUUUUCUUUCUCUAGAUAUAAACGUAAGGUAUCAAUUGCUGCGUCGUUAUCUACGCUUGAUACCGAAAAUUGAUAAAGUUGGAUAUUGUUCUUUUCUUUCUCUAGAUAUAAACGUAAGGUAUCAAUUGCUGCGUCGUUAUCUACGCUUGAUACCGAAAAUUGAUAAAGUUGGAUAUUGUUCUUUUCUUUCUCUAGAUAUAAACGUAAGGUAUCAAUUGCUGCGUCGUUAUCUACGCUUGAUACCGAAAAUUGAUAAAGUUGGAUAUUGUUCUUUUCUUUCUCUAGAUAUAAACGUAAGGUAUCAAUUGCUGCGUCGUUAUCUACGCUUGAUACCGAAAAUUGAUAAAGUUGGAUAUUGUUCUUUUCUUUCUCUAGAUAUAAACGUAAGGUAUCAAUUGCUGCGUCGUUAUCUACGCUUGAUACCGAAAAUUGAUAAAGUUGGAUAUUGUUCUUUUCUUUCUCUAGAUAUAAACGUAAGGUAUCAAUUGCUGCGUCGUUAUCUACGCUUGAUACCGAAAAUUGAUAAAGUUGGAUAUUGUUCUUUUCUUUCUCUAGAUAUAAACGUAAGGUAUCAAUUGCUGCGUCGUUAUCUACGCUUAUAUCUAUUCGUAUUCCGACCAGGCUCUUUCCCUUCCCUUGUAUUAUCGAUAUAUUGAUGAUUGUAUUACACCUGCUAGCGGUCCAGAUGAAGCUGUAAAGAUC